GACGAACGCUGGUGGCGUGCUUAACACAUGCAAGUCGAACGGGAUUUCGUAAACAGAAACCUCGGCGGAAGAUUACUAAUGAGAGUGGCGAACGGGUGAGUAACGCGUGAGCAACCUGCCUAUGACAGUGGGAUAGCCUCGGGAAACCGGGAGUAAUACCGCAUAAAAUCGUAGAAACACAUGUUUUAACGGUCAAAGAUGUAUGGGUCAUAGAUGGGCUCGCGUCUGAUUAGCUAGCUGGUGAGAUAACAGCCAACCAACGCGACGAUCAGUAGCAGGUCUGGGAGGAUGACCGGUCACAUCGGAGAUGAGGCACGGUCCCAACUCCGACGGGAGGGAGGAGUGGGGAAUAUUGCACAAUGAGGGAAAACCUGAUGCAGCCACGUCGCGUGAACGGAGAAGGUAUUCGUAUCGUAAAGUUGUCUGCUAUGAGAAGAUAAUGACAGUAACAGAGAAGAAAGCACCGGCUAAAUACGUG
rnacentral:rRNA from 1 species